GACGAACCGUGCGAACGUUGUUCGGAAUCACUGGGCUUAAAGGGCGCGUAGGCGGCUCGACAAGUCCGGGGUGAAAGCCCCCAGCUCAACUGGGGAAGUGCCUCGGAUACUGUCGGGCUCGAGGGAGGUAGGGGCAGGGGGAACGUUCUGGUGGAGCGGUGAAAUGCGCAGAUAUCAGGAGGAACACCGGUGGCGAAGGCGGGUCUCUGGGCCGAUACUGACGCUGAGGAGCGAAAGCGUGGGGAGCGAACAGG
rnacentral:rRNA from 1 species